rnacentral:tRNA from 1 species
AAAGGGAGACCUAAUUCGGGUAUAAGACGAAAAAAUAGUAGUCGAAACCAAGAAUCAAUCCCAAAAGGUCGGAACGAGGUAUGUGGCUUUCAAACUAGGUUCUGGGUUCACAGAAGACCUGAAUCAGGAACAAGGGCUAUUAGCUCAGGUGGUUAGAGCGCACCCCUGAUAAGGGUGAGGUCCCUGGUUCGAGUCCAGGAUGGCCCACCUGCACAGGUGGCAAAAACAAGAGAAGCUCCGAAUCAGCACCUUAUCUUACUUAUAUAGUAAGAGAGAAUGCUGGCUCUGAGUAAAGAGUCCAGAGGAACCUUGAAAACUGCAUAGAGCUAGGUGAAAAAGCCAAAAAAGAAGACCGCAAG